CUCCUAAUAGUGCUCAGUGCAUAUUCCUGGCGGUGGUGGUGGUGUGAUUACAUUGUUUUGGCAGGGGCGCUGGGGAAGGAGGGAUUGGUGUUACAUUGUUUUAGUCAGCACUGGCCAGUCUUGCCACACACACUCCUAAUAGCGAUCAGUGUUUGCAUAUUCCCGGCAGCUUCUUCCUCCAUCAAGCAGCACCAGAGAGACACAGCUACUUAAGGGUUGUAGGGGCAUAACUCUGCAGCAUACAUCUUUGAGGUUGUAGUGUGAAAAGAGACAAACCUGUCUUGUCUGCCCAGCCUAGCAUUCAAGUCCAGGACCUCUCAGGGUGAGAUUUCAUUGCAGUCAUGUUUAUCUGCCAACAUUCAAGACAGCACAAAGAAUGUGAACCAGUGGAAGUAUCACAUUCUCCUUUUGGAGCAAUGUGGAAACACUGUAAAAUUUAGCCAUCAACAGGUAAUCACCAUGGUCUUGUGCAUUUUGAUUGACCUUGACUGUCAUGUCACCACAGGUGCACUAUAGAAGCCUUCAAGGUGUCACAUGUCCCACAUGUCCAUGUUGUACCACAAAAUUAUUCAUGAGUGUAUAUAAUUUGUGUAGGAUUCAUUAAUGAUGGAUGGGUUGAUUUUCCUUACAGCAGAUGGAUGGCUCACACAAAAUAUAUUAUGUUAGUGUUUAUUUAUUUAUUUAUUUAUAUUUUUUUCAAUUAAUUAAUUAAUUAAUUAAUUAUUUAUUUAUUAAUUAUAUUUUUUCUUUUCUAAUGCCUUCAUAAUUUUAAACACUGAGAAAUCAGUGUUGAACAUUAAGAGCAAUAUUUCUUUUGGCCAAAUGCAUAGAAAUACCACUAAGGAGCAGUUGCUAUUAUUAAGCUUGUGAGAGAACAGAGCAGCAGAUGGAAAUAGAACUUGUGACGGAACACUCGGUUACAGUUGUCUUAGGUAUUGAUAUUACCAGGUUCAGUGAAUAACAGUUAAUAUAUACACUAAUGAACUUAAGUAUUAAUCUCAAAAAGACCAAGAACUUGGGUCAUCAUUAUUGGGAGUACUUGUCUGAUGAUGUGUUUGUCUACAUAAUUUUAAUGGAAUAUGACAUUUUGGUUUGAUGAAUUAAUUUAUCAAUGUAAAAACCUCAUACUUUUAAUAUUUUCUCUAUACCUAUAGUGAAGAAAUAUCAGAAAUGCCUUGUGACAAGAACCUCCUGCGGUAUUUUCAUGAGAAAGCACUUUCAUGAAAUGCAGAAACUGAAAAGUCUCCAUUUGCAUAAAGUGAUGUGCCAGUCAGGUGAUGCAGCAGUAGUGCUUCAGAUCAUAAAAGUUUUUCAGUGCUGACAGUAACGUUUCAUGUGAUGGUGUCUGUAACUGAUGCAAUAGCAGCACUUCAAGUGCCGCUAAUAAGGUGUCUACCAGUCGCAACUACAUGUUAUGUUUGCUCAUAUAAAAAGACUUUCAUUUUCUGUAAAUUAUAUCAUGAUAAAUUACAAAGAUUUUGAACUUUCUACACUGGCUGUGAAAAUGACAAUGUUGCCCAGUGUAUGGUGUCUUCUGUGUGGGCAGUACACGGUGUGGGAGUAUGAGAUCCUGGCUGACAUUUGUGCUGUCCAGUGUACAAGACUUCUAUAUGCCUUGCAUCUCUCUUUAGCUUCUCCUUAUGACACUUUUUGGAGUAUUUCCUCAGUUCAGCAACGGUUUACCUUUUCACUCAAGUGGUGUUCAACACCUGCAUUGUGGACACCUCUUUCCUUAUUUUUUACUCAGCAUGGGUUUUAUAGAUUGAUUGCUUUUGUUACAAGUAUUCAUAAUACAAUAAAAUGCAGUAGUUUUGAAAGUAAGGCAGUCAUGCCCUUUUUGGAGCAUGAUGGCAACAUUGUGGAAAUCGAUCUGAAGGCUGGAUAAAGUGGCUGUGAGACCCUUUCAGGCACAGAGGUCUGGCAGGGUGCUCUCUAUAAGCAUGUUACCAGUCAGUUGAAGGUAAUCACCAAGACCUGAAAAAUAGUUUUGCUUAGCCUUGACAGUAAAAUGGCAAUACAAUAGUAUGUCUGGAGUAGUUAGUUAUUAUGUUGUAUCGCACCAGCAUUAAUUUCACUGACGCACCUUGGAUCAUGAAGUUUACUGAAGUCAGGUCUAGAGGAACCAACUCGUCUAACAAGCCAAUUGGUUUUGUUAUCUUUUAUCAUAACAUGUGAGUUGAAAGUUUCUGCAAGUUUUCUAAUAUUUAUAUAUAUAUAUGUAUUUCUGUAAUAUCCUUGUUUCCCAUUCAUACACGUUUAUAUUACAAGGUUAAUCUUAAAGAAAUUCUAAUUCAGA